rnacentral:lncRNA from 1 species
AAUAGGGAAACUGAGAAGAAAACUCUCUCCUAAAGGAGCCAGACAAGGGGUGGAGGAAGAAGAGGAAAUCUGAAUAAGAACCUAUGAUUCUUGUCAGUAUUGUAAAAAAUAUUUUUAAUGCUUAUUUUUGAGAGAGACACAGAGCAUGAGCAGGGGGAGGAGCAGAGAGAGAGAGACACACACACACAGAAUCCGAAGCAGGUUCCAGGCUCUAAACUGUCAGCACAGAGCCUGACACGGGGCUCGAAUUCACAAACCAUGAGAUCAUAACCUGAGCUGAAAUCGGAUGCUUAACCGACUGAGCCACCCAGGUGCCCCUCUUGUCAAUAUUUUUAAAAAUGUUUAUUCAUUUAUUUUGUGAAGGGGGGGAAGGGUGGAGGGAGAGGGAAAGAGAAUCCCUAGCUGGGAUCCCCUUCCAUGUUGUCAGCAGGAAGCCUGACAUGGGGCUCAAUCCCAAGCACCAUGAGAUCAUGACCUGAGCCGAAAUCAAGAGUCAGACACCCGACUCAGCGAGCCACCCAGGCGCCCCCUCUUGCCAACAUUUUUAAGAAGACGGGGAGCAAGGUUCCCCGGCCACACUUCUGCGAUCCUGAGUUUUGGGGUGUCCUGGAACUCUGGGUUGGCCUGAGUGUCUCCAUCUCUCAGUGUCUCUGAGGCCCUGUCUCUACGUGGAUGUCUCUCAUCCCGGGAUGCUGAAGUUUGAAAAGGUUUGGCAGGCAGUGUGGUGCGGAGGGCAUGAGCAGAUACGAAGGGGAGAGAAGGAGGGGGGCAGAGAGGAUGAAGAGGAGGGUCGGGGGAGAGGACAGGGAAAGAGGGGGCGGCGAGGGAAGGGGAGCGAGGGGCGGGGGAGGGGCGCCUGCCUGCGCACAGCAGAUGUUGCCGCGCCUCGGAUGGAGCUGUUAAUCCUCCACCCCCACCUCCAGCCUUGA